UGGGGGAUAUUGCACAAUGGGGGAAACCCUGAUGCAGCGACGCCGCGUGAGGGAAGAAGGUUUUCGGAUUGUAAACCUCUGUCUUUGGGGACGAAGAAAGUGACGGUACCCAAGGAGGAAGCUCCGGCUAACUACGUGCCAGCAGCCGCGGUAAUACGUAGGGAGCAAGCGUUGUCCGGAAUUACUGGGUGUAAAGGGAGCGUAGGCGGGGCAGCAAGUUGAAUGUGAAAUCUAUGGGCUCAACCCAUAAACUGCGUUCAAAACUGUUGCUCUUGAGUGAAGUAGAGGCAGACGGAAUUCCUAGUGUAGCGGUGAAAUGCGUAGAUAUUAGGAGGAACACCAGUGGCGAAGGCGGUCUGCUGGGCUUUAACUGACGCUGAGGCUCGAAAGCGUGGGUAGCAAACAGG
rnacentral:rRNA from 1 species